ensembl:lncRNA
GAGUGUUCUAUUAAUUUGCCAAGUCUCCCACCUGAAAGCACUAUCUAAGUAUGUGGACCAGGGAGUAUUCAAAAGUCCUUCAAAGCACACCUUCAUUGACCUCUGCUUGAGAAUGUGCUUCACUCGAGAACUGCACAACCGCCUGUGUUUUCAAUUAGAGGAUAUAAAAUGUCAACUAACAUUCCGUGGCAAGAAACACAAUUAUCAGAUGCCAGUCUUUAGUGCACUUCUCCAAAACGCGAAUUCCAUGUGUCGUUGGUGGCUGUAGGUGGACCAAUGCAGAGAAACAACUAUGUUUCUACACAACAUACAUUUGUAACAAGUGGAUGACCCCUCGUUCCCAAUGAAUGAUUACGUCUGAGGAAGUCGCCGUGCAUUAUUCCCGACUGUUUCCCAGAAAGAAUGAAGAAAUGGUGGAAUUUUUUGGUAAGUCACAGCCUCCUGUGCUUUCCCUAUGAGUGUGGAGGCGGGGCACUUCAGUCCAAGACUCGUCCACCGAAAAUAACCUGCAUGAGGGAGGGAAGAGACUUCCAGAGAAAAGUGAGAGAGAGUAGAGGGAGGAGGAAAGGAUAGUGCCCGAAAAAGCGGGGAGGGAGAGAAGAAGAAGAAGAACGGAGUGCCUGCGCUGCGAUGGAAUAAAAACUGCGCAAUUUUAAAUCCUAUCUCCGCUGCUCUUCCAGCGCUGGCCAGCGGCUGCAGCGCAGCCACACGCCACCCGAUGUCUCCUGGACAUGCGAACACGUUUCGUCCAGCUUGCGUGGAUUUCCUCGUCCUUUACCACUGGCUGUUCGUUUAGACAACAAUUGUGUGACAAUUUCUUUGAUAGUCUUUGAGCUACAUGGCAAACGUUUUGGAGAAGAAUUGGCAGAGACAAGCCUCUGUGACGGCCACAUCUUUGCUUCGGUUUCAUAACGUAUCUGCGUGUGUAGAAGUGCAUCCUCACGCCGUCAUUUCAAACAUGCGUAUCGAUUCGGAAUGCAUAAUUAAACCUUCUUACAUGACCACGCUCGUGCUGCGUGACUCUCCAGGCGUCCAUUCUGGUGGGAAGAGGAGAAUGCCUACCAUAAUCGUCUUUUGGGAUGUAUCACUGGACAAUUUAACGUUAUGGAGAAGGGGCACGGCACCUCCCAGUCACACUCUGCUUUUGGCAGCAGAGAAAUGCAACCAAACAUGAAUGCUGAUGAACUGGCUGGGCAGCCACAGCACAAGGUCAGAGAGUUUGUCCAUGGAUCACGGCCACCAAUCAUGGAGUCUCUCGAGCAACUGAGUGGCAGACCAAAUGGCCAAUCAGCUUUCGGAGAGGAGUCCUCCCUCCCUCUGCUGUGUUUGUCUCUCUGUCUCCCCCGGUCCACCGGGCUGCUCCCUGCCCCUCCCCAGGCAGAGACCACCAUGCUGGGCAGAGAGCAGAGGUGUUCAGCUGCACUCAUCCUCCUCACUGCAACCUCUCCAAACCUCGAACACACAGGAGAAGGGCGAGAGAGGAAGAGAGAGAGAGAGAAGGAGAGCGAGCGAGUGAGAGACUGAGAGAGAGGAAGAAAGAAAGUGAGAGAGGGAGAGCUGGUAAGAAAUGGAGGGAUAAGAGGUAGAUGAUGAGUGAUAGAGGGAAAGCAGGUGGAUGACAGGAGGCUUUGAUUGGUUCACUACAUGAAAGAGAGAGUGUGUGCCGCCUGACAGCACAGGCCGAUAGGAGAGAGUGGAGAUGAGUGCAACUUAAAACACACUAGUCAGAUCCACACACUCCCCCUCUCUCUCUCUC